rnacentral:rRNA from 1 species
AUGAAUGUUGGCGGCGUGGAUAAGGCAUGCAAGUCGAACGCCGUUAAUCGCUCGAAUUAAAUUCGAGCGUUUAGCGGAGUGGCGAACGGGUUAGUAACACGUGGGUAACGUACCCCUGACACGGCCAUAACUCGUCGAAAGACGGGCUAAUAGCCGAUAGUCUCUUAGAGGCAACUCAAAAGAGUAAAGGUUAUCCUUACGGAUAGCCGGUCAGGGAGCGGCCCGCGGCCUAUCAGGUAGUUGGUAGGGUAAUGACCUAUCAAGCCGAUGACGGGUAGGGGGGCUUAGAGGCUGUUCCCCAACAAGGGCACUGAGACACGGGCCCUACUCCUACGGGAGGCAGCAGUCGAGAAUCUUGGUCAAUGGGCGAAAGCCUGAACCAGCGACGCCGCGUGCGGGAAGAAGGUCUUCGGAUUGUAAACCGCUUUUCCUGCUGAAGAACCCUGUUUUCAGGGUGACGGUAAGCAGGGAAUAAGGGGUUGCUAACUCUGUGCCAGCAGCAGCGGUAAUACAGAGACCCCGAACAUUAUCCGGAUUUACUGGGCGUAAAGAGUCUUAAGGCGGCUGAGCAAGUCUUUCGUGAAAUCCCUGGGCUCAACCUAGGGAUGGCGAAAGAUACUACUCAGCUAGAGGACGGUAGAGGCCAACGGAACAGCCCGGUGUAGGGGUGAAAUCCGUUGAUAUCGGCUGGAACACCGAAAGCGAAGGCAGUUGGCUGGGCCGAUCCUGACGCUGAUUGACGAAAGCGUGGGGAUAGAACGGGAUUAGAUACCCCGGUAUUCCACGCCCUAAACGAUGGAUGCUAGCUGGUGGAAGUGUCGACCCUUUCACUGGCGAAGCUUACGCGUUAAGCAUCCCGCCUGGGGAGUACGGCCGCAAGGCUAAAACUCAAAGGAAUAGACGGGGAGACACACAAGCGGUGGAUCACGUGGCUUAAUUCGACAACAAGCGAGGAACCUUACCAGGGCUUGACAUGCUAAGUGAAACCUACCAGAAAUGGUGGGGUCCGCAAGGCACUUAGCACAGGUGCUGCAUGGUUGUCGUCAGCAGGUGGCGUGAGCUGCUCCCUUAAAUGGGGGAACCUGCGAAAUCCUCGCCCUGUGUUUUAUGUGUCACAGGGGACUGCCGUGGUUAACACGGAGGAAGGUGGGGACGACGUCAAAUCAGCAUGGCUCUUACGUCCUGGGCGGCACACGUGAUACAAUGGUCGGUACAGCGGGUUGCAACACCGUAAGGUGAAGCUAAUCCCUUAAAACCGAUCUCAGUUCGGAUCGAGGUCUGAAACCCGACCUCGUGAAGCCGGAAUCGCUAGUAAUCGCGGAUCAGCCAUGCCGCGAUGAAUAUGUCACUGUCUCUUGUACUCACCG